UCUAAUAUGGCAGAAUAAAUGCAAUGGAUUUAAACCCCAUAAAUAAAGUAUAAACUUUUUUUAGAA
rnacentral:tRNA from 1 species